CCGAAAUUUUUUAAAUUACGUAAAGGUGAUUAUUAUUCAUAAUAAUUUUUGGGGGGCUCCACAGAAUUUUUUUUAAAUUGUCAAAAGAAUUGAUUAUUCUAAGAGAAAUCAUUUUUUAAAAUAAAAUUUGGGGGUCACCGAUGUCGUUUACGAGUUAAAUUACUUUAAAACCAAAAUAUCCACCAUCUUGAAACGUCAUUGUUGCCAUAUCAACGACAGUUGCGUAACUUUUGUGCAAAAAUUCUAAUUCUUUACAUGUUGUUUUAUAUAAGUAAGGUAC